rnacentral:piRNA from 1 species
UGAAAUAUUCUUUCUUCAGCCGUAAUCCCU